UACGGAGGGAGCUAGCGUUAUUCGGAAUUACUGGGCGUAAAGCGCACGUAGGCGGCUUUGUAAGUUAGAGGUGAAAGCCCGGAGCUCAACUCCGGAAUUGCCUUUAAGACUGCAUCGCUAGAAUCAUGGAGAGGUGAGUGGAAUUCCGAGUGUAGAGGUGAAAUUCGUAGAUAUUCGGAAGAACACCAGUGGCGAAGGCGACUCACUGGACAUGUAUUGACGCUGAGGUGCGAAAGCGUGGGGAGCAAACAGG
rnacentral:rRNA from 1 species